CGCGCCAAUCAGCAAGUCGAGCGGAGUUGAUAGGAAGCUUGCUUCCUUGAUACUUAGCGGCGGACGGGUGAGUAACACGUAGGCAACCUGCCCUCAAGUUUGGGACAACUACCGGAAACGGUAGCUAAUACCGAAUAAUUGUUUUCUUCGCCUGAAGGAAACUGGAAAGACGGAGCAAUCUGUCACUUGGGGAUGGGCCUGCGGCGCAUUAGCUAGUUGGUGGGGUAACGGCUCACCAAGGCGACGAUGCUAGCCGACCUGAGAGGGUGAUCGGCCACACUGGGACUGAGACAC
rnacentral:rRNA from 1 species